rnacentral:rRNA from 1 species
UACGUAGGGGGCGAGCGUUGUCCGGAUUUAUUGGGCGUAAAGAGCUCGUAGGCGGUUCGGUAAGUCGGGUGUGAAAUCUCCACGCUCAACGUGGAGGGGCCACUCGAUACUGCCGUGACUCGAGUCCGGUAGAGGAGUGUGGAAUUCCCGGUGUAGCGGUGAAAUGCGCAGAUAUCAGGAGGAACACCCGUGGCGAAAGCGGCUCUCUGGGACGGUACUGACGCUGAGACGCGAAAGCGUGGGGAGCGAACAGG